CCGGGCUUGAAAGUUAUGAAUACCAGAGAGGAGGUCCGCAAGGCAGGAAAUAGGUGUGCAUGGCUGUCGUCAGCUCGUGCCGUGAGGUGUUGGGUUAAUCCCGCAACGAGCGCACCCCUAUGUUUAGUUGCCAGCAUGUAAUGGUGGGGACUCUAAACAGACUGCCUGUGCAAACAGAGAGGAAGGAGGGGACGACGUCAAGUCAUCAUGGCCCUUACGUCCGGGGCUACACACGUGCUACAAUGGGCAGUACAGAGGGCAGCUACCUGGUAACAGGAUGCCAAUCUCAAAAAGCUGUUCACAGUUCGGAUAGAGGUCUGCAACUCGACCUCUUGAAGUUGGAUUCGCUAGUAAUCGCAUAUCAGCAAUGAUGCGGUGAAUACGUUCCCGGGCCUUGUACACACCGCCCGUCAAUGUCCAUGAAAGUUUGGGGUACCUGAAGUACGUAA
rnacentral:rRNA from 1 species